GAUGAAUGCUGGCGGCGUGCCUAAUACAUGCAAGUCGAGCGAACGGACGAGAAGCUUGCUUCUCUGAUGUUAGCGGCGGACGGGUGAGUAACACGUGGAUAACCUACCUAUAAGACUGGGAUAACUUCGGGAAACCGGAGCUAAUACCGGAUGAUAUUUUGAACCGCAUGGUUUAAAAGUGAAAGACGGUCUUGCUGUCACUUAUAGAUGGAUCCGCGCUGCAUUAGCUAGUUGGUAAGGUAACGGCUUACCAAGGCAACGAUGCAUAGCCGACCUGAGAGGGUGAUCGGCCACACUGGAACUGAGACACGGUCCAGACUCCUACGGGAGGCAGCAGUAGGGAAUCUUCCGCAAUGGGCGAAAGCCUGACGGAGCAACGCCGCGUGAGUGAUGAAGGUCUUCGGAUCGUAAAACUCUGUUAUUAGGGAAGAACAUAUGUGUAAGUAACUGUGCACAUCUUGACGGUACCUAAUCAGAAAGCCACGGCUAACUACGUG
rnacentral:rRNA from 1 species